CAGCUUGUUCCUGCACAGAGAAUGAUCUAUUUGGGCGCCUUCUUCAAUUCCCUCCAAGGGGAAGUACAACUUUCACAGGACAGGGAAAGGCACCUUCAAUCAAAGAUCAAAGAUAUAUUGCCUGUCAGUGUAACUCCAGCACAAAACAUCAUAAGCUUGUUAGAAUCUAUAUCCUCAACAAUCGGACUGACAAGAUGGGACCAGUGGUAGAUGAGACCAUUGCAAGAACAUUUUCUGAGAAAGUUCAACACAGGCAACCUUCUCCAGCCCAUCUGAAUUUCUCUCAUUAUUUCCUGCUAUAGUAACCAAGAGACAAAAACACAUACAAGGAGCUCUCACUAGGAGAAGCUUCAUGGAUCAUCUUGACUACAAACACCAG